rnacentral:rRNA from 1 species
GGUUACUGCUAUCGGUGUUCGCCUAAGCCAUGCGAGUCAUAUGUUCGUAAGAACAUGGCGUACUGCUCAGUAACACGUGGAUAACCUGCCCUUGGGUCCGGCAUAACCCCGGGAAACUGGGGAUAAUUCCGGAUAACGCACAUAUGCUGGAAUGCUUUAUGCGUAAAAUGGAUUCGUCUGCCCAAGGAUGGGUCUGCGGCCUAUCAGGUAGUAGUGGGUGUAAUGCACCUACUAGCCUACGACGGGUACGGGUUGUGAGAGCAAGAGCCCGGAGAUGGAUUCUGAGACAUGAAUCCAGGCCCUACGGGGCGCAGCAGGCGCGAAAACUUUACAAUGCGGGAAACCGUGAUAAGGGGACACCGAGUGCCAGCAUCCUAUGCUGGCUGUCCGGGUGUGUAAAAUACACCUGUUAGCAAGGGCCGGGCAAGACCGGUGCCAGCCGCCGCGGUAACACCGGCGGCCCGAGUGGUGAUCGUGAUUAUUGGGUCUAAAGGGUCCGUAGCCGGUUUGGUCAGUCCUCCGGGAAAUCUGACAGCUUAACUGUUAGGCUUUCGGAGGAUACUGCCAGACUUGGAACCGGGAGAGGUAAGAGGUACUACGGGGGUAGGAGUGAAAUCUUGUAAUCCCUGUGGGACCACCUGUGGCGAAGGCGUCUUACCAGAACGGGUUCGACGGUGAGGGACGAAAGCUGGGGGCACGAACCGGAUUAGAUACCCGGGUAGUCCCAGCCGUAAACGAUGCUCGCUAGGUGUCAGGCAUGGCGCGACCGUGUCUGGUGCCGCAGGGAAGCCGUGAAGCGAGCCACCUGGGAAGUACGGCCGCAAGGCUGAAACUUAA